UUCAUUGUGACCACAACCAAAACUGAGAUGCAACAGAUUGCUCAAGAAAACGAUGUAAACAAGAACUAUCUGGAUAACAUUUGGAUAUUUUCAUGAACCUGAAGCCACAACCAACUUGCAGCUGUGAUUAAUAACUAAAUCCAGAAAGAAAACAAAUCAAAGAAAAGAUCAGCUGUCUUCUUCACACCUCUGUCAGCCAAAAUAAGUGAGGAUUUCAGUUUGACUGGAGAGUAGACGGAGGCAUACAGAGCUGUACUUUCCCAAUCAAGAUCAAGCCUGGACUAAAAUGUCUGCCCAAUCAGCAACAAUGGGGAGACGUUCCACUGACUGCUGUCCCAGGGAUAGGUGAAACAACAGAUGCCCAAAAUGACACCACCUGCCUUCAAGUGAUCACCUGCUGUGGUCGUGACCAUACUGUUCCCUCCUGUGCCAAGGACAGGGACUAUAGGAAACUGGCCAUUAGCAGCAUCAUCUGUGGACUCUCCUGCAUUGGCAUUUUAGCUUUGGUCAACUCAGUCAAGGCUCGAGAGGCAAGGAAGAGGACUCCAAAAAAGGCUAAACAAUAUUCCCAACGAGCAAGAAAGUUUGGGAUAAUUUCUAUUGUGGUGUGGGUGGCGAUUCUGGUACUCAGCCCACUACUGUUGGCUCUGGUGUCAUACCUACUCACUCUGAUAGACUGACCAAUUCCCAGGAACCACCAAGGUGGAUGUACUGUAUCAUAAGGAUGGAUACAGGACAGUGGUCCAACUUCUUUAGUAUUGAUCUUGGACUGCCGUGACACUGUGAGGUGGGAAAGAUGGAAAAGCACCUCCAGUGACUCAGGGAGACUCCACUGUAUACAGCAUUUCUGAGUAUCACUCUGAUAAGGAUGUCUUGCUGAUCAGGAUUUACAAAGGCACCUUUAUUUCUUUUGUGUCACCCUGGAAUUUAUCGCUGACAGAAUGGUUUACACUUAACAUUGAAGUGAUACCACAGCUAUAAAUACAUCAUGAAUAUUAAUAUAUUUUCACAUUUAUCAUUAGCCCAACCAGUCUUUUGCACCUAAGAGUAUUUGUAUUUGUAUUUAUUAUGGAUCCUCAUUAGGCAGCAGCUACUCUUCCUGGGGUCCGGCAAAA